GUGCUCACUUCAGCGGCACAUGUACUAAAAUUGGAACAAUACAGAGAAGAUUAGCAUAACACCUGCUCAACAAUGACACACAAAUUCGUGAAGCGUUUCAUAUUUUU